rnacentral:piRNA from 1 species
UCGAAGACUCAAAAGUGUAGA